rnacentral:rRNA from 1 species
GACGAACGCUGGCGGCGUGCUUAACACAUGCAAGUCGAGCGGUAAGGCCCUUUCGGGGGUACGACGAGCGGCGAACGGGUGAGUAACACGUGGGUGACCUGCCCUCAGCUCUGGGAUAAGCCUGGGAAACCGGGUCUAAUACCGGAUAUGACUCCAUGACGCAUGUUGUGGGGUGGAAAGCCUUGUGCGGCUGAGGAUGGGCCCGCGGCCUAUCAGCUUGUUGGUGGGGUGAUGGCCUACCAAGGCGACGACGGGUAGCCGGCCUGAGAGGGCGACCGGCCACACUGGGACUGAGACACGGCCCAGACUCCUACGGGAGGCAGCAGUGGGGAAUCUUGCGCAAUGGGCGAAAGCCUGACGCAGCGACGCCGCGUGAGGGAUGACGGG